UACGAAGGGGGCUAGCGUUGUUCGGAAUUACUGGGCGUAAAGCGCGCGUAGGCGGCGCUCUUUGUCAGAGGUGAAAUCCCGAGGCUCAACUUCGGAAUUGCCUUUGAAACGGGAGCGCUAGAGUCCGAGAGAGGGUGGCGGAAUUCCUAGUGUAGAGGUGAAAUUCGUAGAUAUUAGGAAGAACACCGGUGGCGAAGGCGGCCACCUGGCUCGGUACUGACGCUCAGGCGCGAAAGCGUGGGGAGCAAACAGG
rnacentral:rRNA from 1 species